rnacentral:rRNA from 1 species
UACGUAGGGGGCAAGCGUUGUCCGGAAUUAUUGGGCGUAAAGAGCUCGUAGGCGGUGUGUCGCGUCGGCCGUGAAAACCUGCAGCUUAACUGUGGGCGUGCGGUCGAUACGGGCAUCACUGGAGUUCGGCAGGGGAGACUGGAAUUCCUGGUGUAGCGGUGAAAUGCGCAGAUAUCAGGAGGAACACCGGUGGCGAAGGCGGGUCUCUGGGCCGAUACUGACGCUGAGGAGCGAAAGCGUGGGGAGCAAACAGG